AUCGUGGGCUGGGUCUUGAACUAGUUGAGAAGCGAGAGAUACAUGCGAGCCUCUGUCCUGUCCAGCCAGAGGAAGGUUAAGGACAGUCGCCACCUGGUUAUAAACAUGAGGUUACAAGUUUUUGGAAGAGAGACAGAGGCAAAGUACCAUUUUCAUCACAUCCUAGCAAGGGAACAUUCUAUCAGCAUGACACCACAGUUGGUGUUGAACUUGGUCCCCUGACCAAGACCGGCUCAGAUCACAGACGGAAAGGCCAAAGCACAGUCCAGGCAUGACUCUUCACCUGUUCUGACGAUAUUUUCCAAGUAAAACCAGGCAUUGAGAGCAAGUCAGAGAUGCAUCAGGCGAUUAAUGAAGUUGAUUCAGCUUUUCCCACUUUUGCCCUCUGCUGAAAGCUACAGGUGGGGCUUCUUCCUGACGUCAAGCUACCUGAUGAAUAAUCUUGCCAGCAAUAUUCCCUUGGAGCAGGUGUACAACAUAAUGAUUUGAUACAUGAAAAUACUGUGAAAUGAUCACCACAGUAAGUCUAGUUAACAUUCAUCACCACACACAGUUGCAAUUUUUUUUCUUCUGAUGAGAACUUUUAAGAUCUACUCUCCAAGCAACUUCCAGAUAUACAAUACAGUAUUGUUAGCUG
rnacentral:lncRNA from 1 species